rnacentral:misc_RNA from 1 species
GUGAAGCAGCGAAUCUUUGAACGCAAAUUGCACUCUCUGGCAUUCCGGAGAGUAUGCCGGUUUGAGGGGCAGUUUAAAUAAAAAGCGAGGUGUUGCUGGUUUGUGACCCAUCGGAAUUGGGUUAUCUUUGACCUUUUAAAAAGUUGAAGUGACCUAAAAUUGAUACCUUGUGCAUCUCAGACGUACAUAAGAAUAUUUUUUUAUCCGUCCGGAGUGGCUAAUUUUUUAUUAGGGAUGACGAUGCUGUUUGUGGCAGUGUACCUAUAAGAUAAGCAUAUUUUGACC